AUUUGAUAUAAGAUGCAUUCUAUAAAGUCUGCUUUGUUGGCUUAUUUAUUAUUGAACUAAAAUUGAUCGAACUUACUGCUUCAUGACAAUAGAUCCAGAAGACUAAUAAGUUGAGUUGAAUGAGCGUAAUAAGUUAAAUAGGGAUGCGGUCCACAAAAAAUCCAACGGCAAGAGACCCAACAAUAGACCCAACAUUUAGAUGGGUUGGGUCAAGUCGAAGACCGCAAGUACUGUAAUUGAGCUCUUAAGUGCAAUGAGCGUGUCCUUUCUAUCAACAAGUGCUUUUCGAAUAGCUGCUUAGCGCUUAUGAUCCACAUGUUUAACUCAAUAUAGUCCAAAAUCACUUUUUCUUUCUCCAAUUUUUUUAGCGAUAAUUUAUCUAUAAACCUCUCAAAACUUCGGAAAUAUUUCAUUUAUCCCUACUUUUUUUUCUUUCCAAUAUACCUCUCAUAUAUUCCUUCGUUAUUCUAAAAUACCUUUACAGUUAUAUUCCGUUAAGUUAACUUAAAUUAAACGUGAGUUAAAUAUCUACCACAAUUAAAAAAAUUAAAAUACCAAUUUUGUCCUAAACUUAAGAGCAAAUAAGAAAUAUUGGUGAUGGUAGAGAGGUAUAUUUGAAAAAACCGCUGACUAAGGACAUGUUUGAUUAUCCGUAAGUGAUGGAAGUAAAAAAAGUCAUUUUUCAAAAAGUGACUUAGCACUUUUUGAAAAGUGACUUUUAUAAAAGUCACUUUACUUUUUGAAAAUUGACAUCUAUAAAAGUCAAUUUUCAAGAAGUCACUUUUUGAAAAGUGACUUCUAUACACGUCACUUUUUGAAAAGUGACUUCUAUAGAAGUCACUUUUGAGUUCAAGUAUUUAAUUUCAAAAAGGUGAAAGAAAAAAUAUAGUUUUUAUAACUUUUUGUUUGGUUCUAUAUAAGAAAAUAAAAAAAUAAAAUAAUUUUUUUUAGAUGCAUAGUUCUUUUUUCUUUCUUUUUUG
rnacentral:lncRNA from 1 species